rnacentral:rRNA from 1 species
CACGUAUCCAACCUUCCGUUAACUCGGGGAUAGCCUUUCGAAAGAAAGAUUAAUACCCGAUAACAUAAGCUAACCUCCUGGUUUACUUAUUAAAGAAUUUCGGUUAUCGAUGGGGAUGCGUUCCAUUAGGCAGUUGGCGGGGUAACGGCCCACCAAACCUUCGAUGGAUAGGGGUUCUGAGAGGAAGGUCCCCCACACUGGAACUGAGACACGGUCCAGACUCCUACGGGAGGCAGCAGUGAGGAAUAUUGGUCAAUGGACGGAAGUCUGAACCAGCCAAGUAGCGUGAAGGAUGACUGCCCUAUGGGUUGUAAACUUCUUUUAUAUGGGAAUAAAGUUCUCCACGUGUGGAGUUUUGUAUGUACCAUUAUGAAUAAGCAUCGGCUAACUCCGUGCCAGCAGCCGCGGUAAUACGGAGGAUGCGAGCGUUAUCCGGAUUUAUUGGGUUUAAAGGGAGCGUAGGUGGACUGGUAAGUCAGUUGUGAAAGUUUGCGGCUCAACCGUAAAAUUGCAGUUGAUACUGUCAGUCUUGAGUACAGUAGAGGUGGGCGGAAUUCGUGGUGUAGCGGUGAAAUGCUUAGAUAUCACGAAGAACUCCGAUUGCGAAGGCAGCUCACUAGACUGCAACUGACACUGAGGCUCGAAAGUGUGGGUAUCAAACAGGAUUAGAUACCCUGGUAGUCCACACAGUAAACGAUGAAUACUCGCUGUUUGCGAUAUAC